rnacentral:sRNA from 1 species
GUCGUGAGAUGUUGGGUUAAGUCCCGCAACGAGCGCAACCCCUAUCCUCAGUUGCCAUCAUUAAGUUGGGCACUCUGUGGAGACUGCCGGUGUUAAACCGGAGGAAGGUGGGGAUGACGUCAAGUCCUCAUGGCCCUUAUGACCAGGGCUACACACGUGCUACAAUGGCCGGUACAAAGAGUUGCGAUACCGCGAGGUGGAGCCAAUCUCAUAAAGCCGGUCUCAGUUCGGAUUGGAGUCUGCAACUCGACUCCAUGAAGUUGGAAUCGCUAGUAAUCGCGGAUCAGCACGCCGCGGUGAAUACGUUCCCGGGCCUUGUACACACCGCCCGUCACACCACGGGAGUCGAUUGGUCCCGAAGUGCGUGAGCUAACCCCUUGUGGGAGGCAGCGUCCUAAGGAAUGGUCGGUGACUGGGGUGAAGUCGUAACAAGGUAGCCGUAGGGGAACCUGCGGCUGGAUCACCUCCUUUCUAAGGAGCUAGAAGGCAAUGACCUUCCAAGCUUACCUAGGUCAAAACACAAAUCACUUGAACUUUACUGCUAUUCGGUUUUGAGAGACCAGAGUCUUCUCUGGUUUUUUGCUCUUUAUAAUAAUUGAGUUCGUAGAGUUCAUUGAGUUUAUGAGUUUAUUGAGUUUAAAAUACUCUAUAAACUCAAUAACACAACAAACUCAAUAACUGAAUUGCGGGCUUGUAGCUCAGUUGGCUAGAGCACACGACUGAUAAUCGUGAGGUCGAUGGUUCGAGUCCAUCCAGGCCCACCAACCCUUUAUUGGGGGUGUAGCUCAGCUGGGAGAGCACCUGCCUUGCACGCAGGGGGUCAUCGGUUCGAACCCGUUCACCUCCACCAAUAAAUAGUUAAGAGUUUAUUGAGUUUGGGAGUUUUGAGUUAUUUAACUCAUUUAACUCAAAACUCCAUGAACUCUAAACUGAAGUUCUCAGUUCUUUGACAAUUGCAUAGUGGAUAGUUUAGGUGGUAGAUGCGUACUCAGUGCGUACGUAUUUACUUGAAUUGUAUGAAUUUGUAGAUUGAUUUCGAUUUUUUAUGGUCAAGCUACUAAGGGCGUACGGUGGAUGCCUAGGCAGAGAGAGGCGAUGAAGGACGCGGUAAACUGCGAUAAGCUUCGGGGAGUCGUUAAACAGGCUUUGAUCCGGAGAUUU